ensembl:misc_RNA Y_RNA Y RNA
GGCUGAUCCAAAGGCAGUGAGUUAUCUCAAUUGAUUGUUCACACUCAGUACAGAUUGAACUCCUUGUUCUACUCUUUCCCCGCUUCUCACUACUGUACUUGACUAGUCUUAA